GGUGUUAAAAAAAUUAAACAUCUGUUAGUACUUUUGAUAAACUUGCACCAGAUUUGUUGCCAUUUGGGCCAUGAGCAAACUCACUACCAUAAUUCUCAAGGUAGCGCACAUGGGAAGAAUGUCAAGUUAGUAAGUUGGAUCAAGACCUUGUUUCUCAAGAAAGGAUGCACUUAUUUUUGUCUUCAUUGUAGCACUGCUCUGUGGCUUUGAGUAACAAGGAAGACAUUACCAUGACAUUGACUGCAAGAUAAUAUUGUCUAUAAUUUCUUUUGGCUAGAAGCUAUCCUAUAUAACAAGGUUCUAUCUAGAAAGCAGAGAGUAAAAGUGUAAAACAACACUCCUUUAUUGCAUCACAUAAUUAUCUCCACUUGGUGAAGGUUAAUAGCUAUAGCUCCUAGAAUCAGCAGGAAUUUAAUAAUUGAAGGGUUCGAGAGGGACAACUGAAAGGAGCAAGCUCGAUUUCGUGAAGAGUUGUAAGAGAGAGCAUGCAGGUGCAAGGUCAGAAAGCAUUUCUUCCUCUGAGAAGUUGCCAUGAUGCAUGUAUCUGUGAUCACUUCUGUUCUCGUGCAGAUCAAUAUUGGAGGAUACACUAAAAUGAGACAGUCAACUGGAAUUAUCGAGGUGACUCUUCAGGAAACCCCAAGAAAACUCAAAAUCGCUUCAUCAUCACAGUAAGAUGUGCCAGGAAGGCUGCUGGGAAUGAAUUCUCAUUGUGAACUACAUUUUUCAUCAGAGGAACUGGAUCUUAACAGAUAUCUAACUCGCUUAGAAAUAAGUCUACUCCUUUUACCAAGGGAAGUCAAUCAUGUACAGAACCAGCUUGACGGGACUUCAUGUUGAGCCGACAAUUCCACAUUGGCAAAAUUCAUCGGUCCUUGCAUUAUUGCAUGCAAUGCUCGUCGGCAGGACUUCAUUAUAAGUUGAAUCUGUAGGUUAGCAAAUUAAUGGACAUGACAUUUUUUGAAGUCUGAAAAAUAUCUUAGACUGUGUCCCAUUGUGGUGGGUGAGAUGGGCCUGUCUCAAUCAAUCAUUUGUGACCAAGCAAUCUGCAUGCCUCCUGCUGCUUCUGCUUGUGAAUCAUCUGCUGGAGCUUGAUGGCACUUGAGAAGAAGAUACCUCCAAGACCAGGAGCGGCUUGUGGCCCCUCAGCGGCUGUUUAAUAUGGGAUCUUUAAGGUGUUCUUGUUGAGUAGGUGUAUGUCUAAAGGAUAAAGCAGAUGAUAAUUAUUAUGUUAGAUGAUGUUUAUUAUGCUUGAUCCUGUGGGGACCUAGUUACCUCUUUUAUUAGCUUCUGUAUAUAUUAUUACUAGGUUCAUUGGAGUUGAUAAUACCCAAAGACAUGACUAGUUUAGUAUCAAAGGCAAAGUUACAUGAUGGCCACACAUACUCUUUUGACCAAAGCAUUCUAUUUAUAUAUUCCUAAUACCUUC